GAUGGACGCUGACAGAAUGCUUAACACAUGCAAGUCAACUUGAAUUUGGGUUUUAAACUUAGGUUUGGGUGGCGGACGGGUGAGUAACGCGUAAAGAACUUGCCUCACAGCUAGGGACAACAUUUGGAAACGAAUGCUAAUACCUAAUAUUAUGAUAAUAGGGCAUCCUAUAAUUAUGAAAGCUAUAAGCGCUGUGAGAGAGCUUUGCGUCCCAUUAGCUAGUUGGAGAGGUAACGGCUCACCAAGGCGAUGAUGGGUAGCCGGCCUGAGAGGGUGAUCGGCCACAAGGGGACUGAGACACGGCCCUUACUCCUACGGGAGGCAGCAGUGGGGAAUAUUGGACAAUGGACCGAGAGUCUGAUCCAGCAAUUCUGUGUGCACGAUGAAGUUUUUCGGAAUGUAAAGUGCUUUCAGUUGGGAAGAAACAAAUGACGGUACCAACAGAAGAAGUGACGGCUAAAUACGUG
rnacentral:rRNA from 1 species